CUAUUUCUCACGGGUUAAUGAGCUUAUUGUAUAGUGUAUCAUUAAUUGUACAUUUUAUUUUUGGUGUUCAGGUGUAGGGAAUGAUUUGUAUACAAAUUUAUUUGAACCCCAUACAGAUUGGUAUGGUUGUACCAUAGAUUUAGAUUAUUAAAUGUUAAGUCUUAUUUUACUCUUAUUAUAUUUAUCUUUUUUGCAGCUACAGCAAUUGAUGUUGAAAAACUGAUGCUACUAAUCUCUCCUCACUUGAUUAUUCAAAGUAAUGUUGAUGUCUUUCUCAUUUUGAUUAGAUUUUGAAAUGUCAAGUUGUUCACAGAUUUGUUGUGAGGAGUUUUAUGUACAACCUCUUUUUCUUCCUCUAGUAGCGAUGCAGUGGCACAGUAGUAGUGCUGUCGCCUCACAGCAAGAAGGUUGCUGGUUCGAGCCUCGGCUGGGUCAGUUGGCUGAAUACAAUGGCAUAAUGAUUCUGCUUGCUCACAGGAGCUCAGAUUGUGAUGGACCUGGAAUGCGACACCAGUUACUCUUAAGUCAAGAACCAAAUAAAGCACAGAUGUGGAGGGAUCUGCAACUAAACUAACUGGAGGAAAGGAACCUUUAGGUAAAAACACC
rnacentral:lncRNA from 1 species